UACGUAGGGUGCGAGCGUUGUCCGGAAUUAUUGGGCGUAAAGAGCUCGUAGGCGGUCUGUCGCGUCGAUCGUGAAAACUUGGGGCUUAACCCUGAGCUUGCGGUCGAUACGGGCAUGACUGGAGUUCGGCAGGGGAGACUGGAAUUCCUGGUGUAGCGGUGAAAUGCGCAGAUAUCAGGAGGAACACCGGUGGCGAAGGCGGGGUCUCUGGGCCGAUACUGACGCUGAGGAGCGAAAGCGUGGGGGAGCGAACAGG
rnacentral:rRNA from 1 species